CAUCAGCUUCUCCAGAAGAUCUGGUCCACAAGCCAUCUCCACCCCAGCAGCUUCUAUGGCUGCUGUCACCCGCCACCUCCCUUCUCCCAGCUGCGUCUUCAAGCCAUUUUUAGAACAGGAAAGGAUCAUUUCAUCAGACUGAAGUGGGUGCUUGGUGGCUACUUCUGCAGCGGGAGGACUGAAUCACCCUCCAUCCACAGGGAGCUUCAGAGCUUCUAAAGGUGGAUUGAAGGCUUCAGCCCUGCUUUACGGGCGGCGGUCAGGAUGGGUGUUUGCCGAUGCUGUACAUCUUUCUGUGACAAAAGCCACACAUCUGCUUCACAGUCGGCAGUAACACAGGGCUGACACCCUUUUAGGAUGGCUGACUUGGGUGACAGUGUGACUAUGGGAACGCCAGUCCUCUCACGAACAAAGUCUACAUCCAUCUUCGUGUAACCUACUUUGCUUUGCCUCAAGAAAGCUCGGCACAGGCGGGCAGUUUUGUCUGCGGUGCUCACCGCUCUGUCUCCAUCCCUAAGGGCAGUGCUUAAAUGCUUACUCUGCGGGCACUCAGUAACUGUUUCUUGAAUGAGUGAUGAACUAUCCUCACGACAGGUGAACAUCAUCUUGUGUCUGAUGUGCUGUUUGGGCUGUAUUUCGCCCACUGAGAAACUCCCAACGUGUACUGUUUAUGCAGACAGCCACCUUUUUGCUCAUCCUCCUCCCACCUCCGCCCCUGCAAAUUUCAGUUCCAAUACUCCGCUGCACGAUCCUUCUCACGUGGAUGCCAUUUCUCCAUUUUCCUUUACAGAACAGACAAACCACGAAUGUUGGCAAACAUAAGCUCCUGAGUAUGUUGUUACAAAAUUUCCAAAUCUUCUGAUCAAGCCACAGGCUUUACAAAUAUAACAAAGUCACUUUUUUUUUCUUUUGUAAAAUGCUAUACUUUGCAAUCUGUGUUUUCCAUAAAAGUACCAAUUUUUGCUGUGUGAUUCAGAAAUCAGAGAAGAAAUGGUGAUAAUAUAUGCUAAAAUGAAAAUUAGUCUGCCUCCUUUGAUAAGCAAGAACUUUGUCUCUUCCCAGUUUGCCUCGUCUCUCAGGAAGCGCAGAGCUGUGCCCACUUGUGCUACCUGUUCUCACCCUCAGUUUUGUGAACCUGGCAAUGUCAUCUGUUUCCUUUCAUUACUUUGUUCUUUUAAACUUUUACAAUAACGUAUGGCAUUAUGCUCUGUU
rnacentral:lncRNA from 1 species